CAAUAGCGUAUAUUAAAGUUGUUGCGGUUAAAAAGUUCGUAGUUGGAUUUCUGCCAAGGACGACCGGUCCGCCCUCUGGGUGAGUAUCUGGCUUGGCCUGGGCAUCUUCUUGGAGAACGUUGCUGCACUUCACUGUGUGGUGCGGUAUCCAGGACCUUUACUUUGAGGAAAUUAGAGUGUUUCAAGCAGGCUUCCGCCUUGAAUACAUUAGCAUGGAAUAAUAAGAUAGGACCUCGGUUCUAUUUUGUUGGUUUCUAGAGCUGGGGUAAUGAUUAAUAGGGAUAGUUGGGGGCAUUCGUAUUUAACUGUCAGAGGUGAAAUUCUUGGAUUUGUUAAAGACGGGCUACUGCGAAAGCAUUUGCCAAGGAUGUUUUCAUUGA
rnacentral:rRNA from 1 species